rnacentral:lncRNA from 1 species
CCAGAGCCCUAGAGAGCAGGGUGCUCCUUCAGACCCCAGGCCUUGUCUCUAGCCCUUCCUAAGUCAUCUCACUUCUCCCUACUUCUCACCUUCUGCCUUGGGUCCAACCUACUCCUAGGCUAUGAAGCCAUCCACCAGCCUUACCUAGGCACAGGCCAAUGCACUGCUGCCUGGGACAACAGGUCACUGCAGAACUGGCAUCACCCAAGAAUCCGAAGGACUCGGCUGAAUAAAGACCAUGAUCCGAAGUUAAAAGGAGUUUCAGUGUGGCAGGGAGACCAACGCAAGAGCAUCAUGACAUGAAUGCGGAAGGAAGUAGUCCCUCAAUGACCAACAGCCGACCUUAAGUUCACCACCAGAUGCUUCAUGACAAACUCACAAAGGCAAUAGCCACAAAGGGCCAACAACUUUCCCUGGGCAUCUAUCCAAGCCUGUCUUCAUGGUCCCUUCCAACAGCUGGACGUAUUGGCUGCCAGAUGUCCCUGAAACCGCAGGCUGCCUUACCUAUGUCAGGUAAUUUGGCUUCCCUGAUUGACCCAUCACUGAGAUCAUCACUAGCAGAAGGGAUACUGUUCCAGAACUAGCAGCCUCCAUUUCCUCCUCCUUGGGAUGUGUGUUGUGAGAAGCUCAUGUCACAUAAAAGGCAACAUGUGGGCACCUAAGCAGAUAAUCCCCAACUGAACACCCACUCAACAACUAGUGCCAACUGCCAUCCAUGAGCAUGCACCAUCUUGGAUGUUCCAGCCCAGUCAAGCCCCAGAUGACUGCAGCUCCAGCCAACAACACACGGAACAGAAGAACCACCCAGCUGAGCCCAGCCAAUCCCUGAGCCCAGGGAAUUAUGAUGAUGAAACUAUACCCUAAAGAGUUAAUGAAACCAAUGACAGAAAUUACUGAGUUUGCAGGAUAACAGAUAAGAAAAAAAAACAACUUGCUGAGAUGCUGAAAUUCCCUCCUCUUCUGAGUAUUUUUUUUUUUUUAACUCACAAGUUUUUUAAAAAGUUGGCAGUGGGCUAAAAUUAAUUGGAACCAGGAUGACCAACUGGAGAUUGUGCACAAGUUUGCUGACAUCACAGCCCAAAUUUCCACCACAUAUUUCAUACUAACUUCUCCCAAAUUUGCAUAUGCAACCUAUGAAGUAACAUAAAGAAAUAAGUACACACACCCAAGGACUUUCCAGACUUCCCCUUUCCCUCCACCAACCACCUGCUAAUCCCAGUAUCUACCCCCUAAGCCUUUCCUAAU